CAGUGGGCGCGCGCGGCUGUUUCCCCCCCCCCCCAACCUCGCAAUCCGGUCCCGGCCGCAGCUCCCGGAGCGGUUGCCAUGGAGACGGCGGGAAGCAACGCGCGGCGCUUCAUCCCGGCCAGGUGGGCCGAAGCUGCGCAGAUGGCAGCCCAGGUAUCCGGUAUAUAACAGAGCCUCUUAUUAAGAAGCUGGCCAAGCAAGAGAAUCUGGCGCGCGUAACUGCUCUGAACCUUUCUCUCGGUAAAGAUGGAGGGAAAAAAUUUAAGGUAUAUGUCUGGUGCUUUGUACUUUAACAACCAUCAACUACAGACAAAUAAUUCUUAGAUAACAAUUAAGCAUUUCUUCCCAGGGCAGGAAGUCUUGUCAGGUGCCUGUUUGAGAUACACGUAUCAUUUCCUGCGCUGCUGGAUUUUGUACCAGUUGCAGCUUCUGUAUGCUUUUCAAAGGGCAGCCCCAUACAGAGUGCAUUAGAGCAGUGCAGGAGGGGAGUGACUGAGAGGUGAGUGACUCUGCGCAAGGCUUCCUAAGUGAGCAGGGUUGCAAUUGGCACACAAGAUAGAAUUGUGCAAAUGGCCUGCUGGCCACAGCUGUCACUUGCUUAUCAAGAAGUUGAAGGUCCGGAAAUUGUGCACCAUUGCCAAAUGAGGGAACACAACCUUAUUCAGAGUGAAAGAUGGAACUAUCCUGGAAUUGUUUAGGGCACAAAUCCAGAGCCAACCCAUCUUGGGGGAGAUUCUAUUUUUCCUCCUCAUCCAGACACUGAUGGCCUCCAGCAAUUUUACUGCAUCACCUGCUUGGCCUGGGGACAAGAUCUAGAACAGGUUAUCACCAGCAUAUUGAUGAUAGCAGGACUCGUGUUGACAAAUUACGUUCCCCGGUGGUUUCAUUUAGAUGUAAAAAGAAGCAGGAAAAAGAGACUUGGAAUCUCUGGGAAGGUCUCUCCUCCUCCACCAGCACUGACUGUAAUCAUGCCCGAAGGAAGGAGGUGAACCACUAAAGACUUGCGUCCCCCACCCCAGUCCCACAGAGGCAGUGAGGAGGCUGCCUUGGCUGAGAGAUCAAGGACCAGGAAGGUUGCACUCCUCAAAUUUGGUGUCAUCCACAAAUUCCUCCAAUGCAGUUUCCAUGCUGCACCUCCACUGGAAGACUGAGCACUAUGGAUCCCAGGCAGCAACAUGCUCCCAAAAUAUACUCCUUCAAUACUUUUUUAAGUUUUCAUAAAGAACAAGGAUACAUUGUCUUAAUUUUGCAGGAUUGUGGCAUGUGAUAGUCUAAGAGAAAGGUGUUUAUAAUUGCUAUUACGUCAGAUAAUUGCUAACCUACUUUGCAAGUGGAUUACUAAGGUGGAAAAUUCUGAGGCACCAUCUAGAUGCUAAGUAUUCUUAGAUACUUUCAACAAUUGGUGGCCUGUGGCAAAAUAUUUACAAUAGUGUGUGUGAAAUGCAGCUGAACCCAAUGAGUCACCAAGGCAAGUUUCUUCUAAACAGCUCUGUGUAGUAGCCAGUGAUUUAUAAAUACUUUUAUUACUGUUAAUAAAUCAAAUGCAAAAGUGAACAAACAUCUCCUAGAGAUUCCUCAAAGAUCAGAGGCACUGGAUUGGAAAGGCCGUAGCUGAAAGAAGACUACGUGCCAGAGGAGGAGCCGCCUCUCUCCAUGCCACUCAGGGGUCCCAAUUGAAGGAGUCAGGACCUCAGAAUUGACAUCUUAAAGAGCUAACUUUCCCGAGAGAGAAAUAAAAAUUUAGAGAACCUGAACUGGCCACCCUUCUUCAUUUAAACAGUAUUUCAAAAACAUCUCUCCUUUAUAUUGCCAGGUGAAUUUCAGUAAAUCACUUCUUCUCCAUCCGGGAUGAUGUAAUGGCAAGGUGGGUGAGCUCUGCUCCAAGCAGCAGCUGAGGCACUGGCAGAAUCAGAAUUUUAGCAUGCUCUGCUGGGUGGGGAUCAUCUAACAGAAACAGUCUCUGCUUCCUCUUGCUACAUUCACACGUACAGCUGAGGGCCCCUACGUAGACCCAAGAGAGAGUGCGACUCCUGGAGCUGGGAUGCUUUUGGUCCUGACAUGGGAGGGAGGUUGGGGAGACUGGCAGAUCCUACAGUGAGGCAACCUGGGCCUCUUGAUCUGGCAAAGGAUCUUACGAAUUUCAGUUGUUAAGAGAGGGGAUGAUGGGGGCAAAAUAAAAAAAAAAA